AAAAUAACCCUUUUUACUCUAAACUUUUUAAAUUUGGACACAUAUGUCUUUCUGCAGCACUAAGUCCUGAUGAAUCCAAAUUUAAAAAGUUUAGAGUAAAAAGGGUUAUUUU
rnacentral:miRNA from 1 species